CCUGGUUGAUCAGCCAGUAGUCAUAUGCUUGUCUCAAAGAUUAAGCCAUGCAUGUCUAAGUACAUGCCGAAACAAGGCGAAACCGCGAAUGGCUCAUUAAAUCAGUUAUGGUUCCUUAGAUCGUUUCUUCCUACUUGGAUAACUGUGGCCAAUUCUAGAGCUAAUACAUGCAGUGAGCCCGAAGCCCCUCGGGGCGACGGGUGCUUUUAUUAGACCAGAUCAAUCGGGCCUUCGGUCCGUUUUGUGUGGUGACUCUGGAUAACUUUGUGCUGAUCGCCACGGCCCACGAGCCGGCGACGUUUCUUUCAAGUGUCUGCCUUAUCAACUGUCGAUGGUAGGUUAUGCGCCUACCAUGGUUGUUACGGGGUAACGGAGAAUCAGGGUUUCGAUUCCGGAGAGGGAGCCUGAGAAACGGCUACCACAUCCAAGGAACGGCAGCAGGCGCGCAAAUUACCCACUCCCGGCACGGGGAGGUAGUGACGAAAAAUAACAAUACGGGACUCUUUGAGGCCCCGUAAUUGAAAUGAGUACACUCUAAAUCCUUUAACGAGGAUCCAUUGGAGGGCAAGUCUGGUGCCAGCAGCCGCGGUAAUUCCAGCUCCAAUAGCGUAUACUAAAGUUGCUGCGGUUAAAAAGCUCGUAGUUGGAUCUCAGUUACAGGCGGGAAGUUGCGUGGACACCACGUUACGGCCCGUGCUGAACAUCAUGCCUGUCGUGGCUUGAUUCCCUUCAUCAGGUGCCUUGCUUUGGCCGGCGCGUUUUACUUGAAAAAAUUAGAGUGCUCAACGCAGGCGAUUCGGCUGAAUAACAGUGCAUGGAAUAAUAGAACAAGAUCCUGUUUCUGUUCUGUUGGUUUUUGGAAUACAGGAUAAUGAUUUAAGAGGGACAGACGGGGGCAUUUGUAUGCGGCGCUAGAGGUGAAAUUCUUGGACCGUCGCAAGACGAACUACUAUGAAAGCCUUUGCCAAGAAUGUUUUCAUUGAUCAAGAACGAAAGUUAGAGGUUCGAAGGCGAUCAGAUACCGCCCUAGUUCUAACCAUAAACGAUGCCAACCAGCGGAUCCGCCUGAGUUACUCAAAUGACUCGGCGGGCAGCUUCCGGGAACCAAAGUAUUUGGGUUCCGGGGGGGAAGUAUGGUUGCAAAGCUGAAACUUAAAGGAAUUGACGGAAGGGCACCACCAGGAGUGGAGCCUGCGGCUUAAUUUGACUCAAACACGGGAAAACUUACCCGGCCCGGACACUGGGAGGAUUGACAGAUUGAGAGCUCUUUCUUGAUUCGGUGGAUGGUGGUGUGCAUGGCCGUUCUUAGUUGGUGGAGCGAUUUGUCUGGUUAAUUCCGAUAACGAACGAGACUCUAGCCUAUUAAAUAGGUGCGUGGUUCUCUGCACCUUGCACCCUUCUUAGAGGGACAAGCGGCUCCUAGCCGCACGAAACAGAGCAAUAACAGGUCUGUGAUGCCCUUAGAUGUCCGGGGGGCCGCACGCGCGCUACACUGAAGGAAGCAAGCGUGUUUUUAUCCCUGUCUGUAAAGGACUGGGUAACCCGUGGAACCUCCUUCGUGAUUGGGAUAGGGGCUUGCAAUUGUUCCCCUUGAACGAGGAAUUCCCAGUAAGCGCGAGUCAUAAGCUCGCGUUGAUUACGUCCCUGCCCUUUGUACACACCGCCCGUCGCUACUACCGAUUGAAUGAUUUAGUGAGGUCUUCGGACCGAUACCCGUAGCGGCCUUUCGGUUGCGCCUGUGUGUUGGAAAGAUGACCAAACUUGAUCAUUUAGAGGAAGUAAAGUCGUAACAAGGUUUCCGUAGGUGAACCUGCGGAAG
rnacentral:rRNA from 1 species